rnacentral:rRNA from 1 species
UACGUAGGCAGCGAGCGUUGUUCGGAAUUACUGGGCGUAAAGAGUGUGUAGGCGGUGCUCUAAGUUCGGUGUGAAAUCUCCCGCUUAACUGGGAGGGUGCGCCGGAAACUGGAGUGCUCGAGCGUGGGAGAGGAAAGCGGAAUUCCUGGUGUAGCGGUGAAAUGCGCAGAUAUCGGGAGGAACACCGGUGGCGAAGGCGGGUUCUCUGGGCCUGACCUGGACGCUGAGGAGCGAAAGCGUGGGGAGCGAACAGG